GAUGAACGCUGGCGGCGUGCCUAAUACAUGCGAGUCGAGCGAACAGACGAGGAGCUUGCUCCUCUGACGUUAGCGGCGGACGGGUGAGUAACACGUGGAUAACCUACCUAUAAGACUGGGAUAACUUCGGGAAACCGGAGCUAAUACCGGAUAAUAUAUUGAACCGCAUGGUUCAAUAGUGAAAGACGGUUUUGCUGUCACUUAUAGAUGGAUCCGCGCCGCAUUAGCUAGUUGGUAAGGUAACGGCUUACCAAGGCAACGAUGCGUAGCCGACCUGAGAGGGUGAUCGGCCACACUGGAACUGAGACACGGUCCAGACUCCUACGGGAGGCAACAGUAGGGAAUCUUCCGCAAUGGGCGAAAGCCUGACGGAGCAACGCCGCGUGAGUGAUGAAGGUCUUCGGAUCGUAAAACUCUGUUAUUAGGGAAGAACAAAUGUGUAAGUAACUAUGCACGUCUUGACGGUACCUAAUCAGAAAGCCACGGCUAACUACGUG
rnacentral:rRNA from 1 species